rnacentral:lncRNA from 1 species
UCGGGGUGGCAUGUCCUUUCCUGAAACUUUUGGUUUAGCCAUUUAUGCAAAAGACUUCGAGGAAAGUUAGACAAUAUUUUAAGCGGGGGUAGGGGAAUUCUGGGUGUAGAAUAGCUUCACUAAACCAGUAGGCGAAGUACUCAUCAUUUAUGUCGUUCGCUGAAAAUGAUGCACAGAAGGUGCAGGGGUGCAGGCAAAAGGCGAACAAGGAGUUCUUCGGCGAGUCGCUGAGUGAUCUU